rnacentral:rRNA from 1 species
CCUACGGGAGGCAGCAGUCGAGAAUCAUUCACAAUGGGGGAAACCCUGAUGGUGCGACGCCGCGUGGGGGAAUGAAGGUCUUCGGAUUGUAAACCCCUGUCAUGUGGGAGCAAAUUAAAAAGAUAGUACCACAAGAGGAAGAGACGGCUAACUCUGUGCCAGCAGCCGCGGUAAUACAGAGGUCUCAAGCGUUGUUCGGAAUCACUGGGCGUAAAGCGUGCGUAGGCUGUUUCGUAAGUCGUGUGUGAAAGGCGCGGGCUCAACCCGCGGACGGCACAUGAUACUGCGAGACUAGAGUAAUGGAGGGGGAACCGGAAUUCUCGGUGUAGCAGUGAAAUGCGUAGAUAUCGAGAGGAACACUCGUGGCGAAGGCGGGUUCCUGGACAUUAACUGACGCUGAGGCACGAAGGCCAGGGGAGCGAGAGGGAUUAGAUACCCGAGUAGUC